rnacentral:misc_RNA from 1 species
UUUUUUCUGAGUGAUUGACUUGCUAUAGGCCUAAUUGCUACUAUUAAUCAGCUUUGUGAUAUUUUGUUAUUGAUUUUUAUCGUAUUCAUUCCAGUUGAUAUUUUCAAUUUCUAUCAUGGAUAUGUCGCUGGCUACCGCUGGCCUUGAUUGGGCACGCAGUGUGGACGCAGCCAUGGACCAACGCAGCCAAGCUUACCAGGCUGGGCCAGCGACUCGACCAAUAUGUGGAAGCAGGACUGAAAUUUUUAAACAGGUGCGUUUGGAAUGUGUGGUGAGUUUAUUGAAGGCAGCUGUGGCUCCACUCAGCUCAUUCAUAAUGGAGGCACUUGCUCUGAAUCACCCUUUAACGGCCGCCAUUCGCCAACAACUGCAACUGGUUCCAAGCAAAAUGGUGCUGAAAAGUAUCAAUUCAAUGAAACCUACAACACCGACCAUGAGAUAUGACGAUGUGUGAAGCGUUGUCUGAAGGCUGAUGAGGCUGGAGAACUGGAGGAUGAUGAGGAAGGGAAUGCAGACACAGGGGAAAGAGGCAAGCUGAGGCUGGAGAGGCAUUUCGAAGGAGACAAAGGCUGUAGUGCUAAAGAUGCAAGCUGGUAACUGAGACGAAUGUAAUCGAAAUCCCCCAAGAUCCAGAAUAUGGGAAGAUAACGGACAGACGAAAGUUUAUGCCAAUGAGGUAUUGUAAAUGUUGGGGUCUUUUUAUCCUUUCUUUAUUUAUAUUAUUAAAAUUUAAAAUGCUUUUGCAAAACAAAAGGGCUUAAGUAAUAAAAAUGUUGGGGACUUGUAAUCCUUUCUUAUUUAUUAAUAUUAUUACACCAUCCAUUGAUGCAUUGAGCUAAGACAAGUCGUGUUAUGCACGACUUCAGUAAUAUAUUUUAUUUCUAUAAAUAGGGCUGAAAUUCUAUUACAUUGAACCAAUAAAAAAUAAUUUUAUUAUACCAUGAAUUGAUAACAAUGAAAAACUAUUAUUUAAACUUUCGUCAAGUGAGGUUUGCAAUCUCCCUGUCUGUCCAUCAAGCAUAGUCAAUCAUUAUAAUUAAAUUAUAAAUUGAAUUUAGAAAUUUAAAUUAGUAAAAAAUUAUCAUUAUCAUCAUAAUCACAUAAAUUAAUGGAUGAAUUUAAAAUAGGAUAAAUUUAUGAGGUUAUAUAGUGUACCUGUGUAAUAAGCAGAAGUAAUUUAAUUUUGAGUAUGGAUUGAAUAAACAAUUAAAAUGAAAUGAA